UACAGAGGGUGCAAGCGUUGCUCGGAAUCAUUGGGCGUAAAGGGCAAGUAGGUGGUCUUGUUUGUCUGGGGUGAAAUCCUUGAGCUUAACUCAAGAAGUGCCCUAGAAACGGCAAGACUCGAGUCCUGGAGAGGGUGGUGGAAUUCCCGGUGUAGCGGUGAAAUGCGUAGAGAUCGGGAGGAACACCGGUGGCGAAGGCGGCGACCUGGGUAGAUACUGACGCUGAGGUGCGAAAGCGUGGGGGAGCAAACAGG
rnacentral:rRNA from 1 species